CCUACGGGGGGCAGCAGUGAGGAAUAUUGGUCAAUGGCCGAGAGGCUGAACCAGCCAAGUCGCGUGAGGGAAGACGGCCCUACGGGUUGUAAACCUCUUUUGUCGGGGAGCAAAGCGAGUCACGUGUGACUCAUUGAGAGUACCCGAAGAAAAAGCAUCGGCUAACUCCGUGCCAGCAGCCGCGGUAAUACGGAGGAUGCGAGCGUUAUCCGGAUUUAUUGGGUUUAAAGGGUGCGCAGGCGGAGGUGCAAGUCAGCGGUCAAAUUGCGGGGCUCAACCCCGUCCUGCCGUUGAAACUGCAGCCCUUGAGUGCGCGAGAGGUAUGCGGAAUGCGUGGUGUAGCGGUGAAAUGCAUAGAUAUCACGCAGAACUCCGAUUGCGAAGGCAGCAUACCGGCGCGCAACUGACGCUCAUGCACGAAAGCGUGGGUAUCGAACAGGAUUAGAUACCCCUGUAGUC
rnacentral:rRNA from 1 species